UACGAAGGGGGCUAGCGUUAUUCGGAAUUACUGGGCGUAAAGCGCGCGCAGGCGGUUCUUCAAGUCAGAGGUGAAAGCCCAGAGCUCAACUCUGGAAUGGCCUUUGAGACUAGAGAACUAGGGUACGGGAGAGGUGAGUGGAAUUCCGAGUGUAGAGGUGAAAUUCGUAGAUAUUCGGAAGAACACCAGUGGCGAAAGGCGGCUCACUGGCCCGUUACCGACGCUCAGGCGCGACAGCGUGGGGAGCAAACAGG
rnacentral:rRNA from 1 species